rnacentral:rRNA from 1 species
UACGUAGGGUCCGAGCGUUGUCCGGAAUUACUGGGCGUAAAGAGUUCGUAGGCGGUUUGUCGCGUCGUUCGUGAAAACUUGGGGCUUAACUCCAAGCGUGCGGGCGAUACGGGCAGACUUGAGUACUACAGGGGAGACUGGAAUUCCUGGUGUAGCGGUGAAAUGCGCAGAUAUCAGGAGGAACACCGGUGGCGAAGGCGGGUCUCUGGGUAGUAACUGACGCUGAGGAACGAAAGCGUGGGUAGCGAACAGG